rnacentral:lncRNA from 1 species
CCGGGUCUCUUCCUGACAUCCCUGGGCGAUGAACACCAGGGUGUCGAGCUCGUGAACAUGCUGUAGAGAAAGAGACAAAAUGAUCGUGAGUUAAAAACAUAUGGAUUCGCUAAUAACUUUAAGGAAAUUGAGAAAAGGACUUACCCGGGCGGUGUUGCAGUAGGUACUGUCAACGACCUCUUCCAGCGAAAUGUUCCGGAACUCGGCCCGGUUCGCCGGAAGCAUCGCACGCCGGAACACGGCGCGUGCGACCUCAGCAUCAUGAAUAGCUGAACUCCCCUCGGGGAUAGGAGAGUCCAGCUCAUCCGACUCCUCUUGAAAGUACCUUGAGGAGCUCGGCACGUCCGGCCUCGGGAUCUCGGGGCCGCUUGCUUCAGGGCCCCUGGUCGGCUCGGG